ACACGCAUGACACACUGCAUAUCAAUAAGCGGAGGAAAAGAAACUAACAAGGAUUCCCCUAGUAACGGCGAGUGAAGCGGGAAGAGCUCAAAUUUGAAAUCUUAAAGGGUUUCCCUUUACGAAUUGUAGUUUAAAGAAGUGUUUUCUGUUAGAGAGGUGGUAAAAGUUCUUUGGAAUAGGACAUCAUAGAGGGUGAGAAUCCCGUAUUUGAUCACUUUCUACUAACGUUGUGAUACACUUUCAAAGAGUCGGAUUGUUUGGGAAUGCAGUCCAAAAUGGGUGGUAAAUUUCAUCUAAAGCUAAAUAUUGGCGAGAGACCGAUAGCGAACAAGUACCGUGAGGGAAAGAUGAAAAGAACUUUGAAAAGAGAGUUAAACAGUACGUGAAAUUGUCAAAAGGGAAGCGUUUGACACCAGUGUUGUUUUUCCGAAAAUCAAUUAAAAAUGAUGGGAUUUUGUGUUGUAUUGACUUUAUCAGCUUUCUGCACUUUUUUCUUAUCUUUUUUAAUGCACUUUUCGUUUAACAAGUCAACAUCAAUUUCUUUUGUUGUAAAAGAGUCAUUGGAAGGUGGCUUUUUCUUCGGAAAAAGUGUUUAUAGCCUUUGGCUUCUGCAAUCGGAGAGAUUGAGGUCUGCAGCGUAGAUCCUUCGGGGUUAGAUACAUUUGUGCUAAGCUAUAGUUCUUUAUAGGACAACUUGUUGACUAUAAUCAAUCCUGUAACUUACUCGCUUAUGCUAUUUUACCUACGCUUAGGAUGUUGACUGAUAUGUAGUCGU
rnacentral:rRNA from 1 species